rnacentral:rRNA from 1 species
AUUGAACGCUGGCGGCAUGCUUUACACAUGCAAGUCGAACGGUAACAGGCCGCAAGGUGCUGACGAGUGGCGAACGGGUGAGUAAUGCAUCGGAACGUGCCCAGUCGUGGGGGAUAACGCAGCGAAAGCUGUGCUAAUACCGCAUACGAUCUAUGGAUGAAAGCGGGGGACCGUAAGGCCUCGCGCGAUCGGAGCGGCCGAUGUCAGAUUAGGUAGUUGGUGGGGUAAAGGCCCACCAAGCCAACGAUCUGUAGCUGGUCUGAGAGGACGACCAGCCACACUGGGACUGAGAGACGGCCCAGACUCCUACGGGAGGCAGCAGUGGGGAAUUGUGGACAAUGGGCGCAAGCCUGAUUCAGCAAUGCCGCGUGCAGGAAGAAGGCCUUCGGGUUGUAAACUGCUUUUGUACGGAACGAAACGGUCUGGGUUAAUACCCUGGGCUAAUGACGGUACCGUAAGAAUAAGCACCGGCUAACUACGUGCCAGCCGCCGCGGUAAAAC